rnacentral:misc_RNA from 1 species
CGUGGCAUGACAGAAGAUAGAGAGCAACCUCAAGAGCAAUUAGUUUAUCUGGUCUGGAAAUGCUUGUAAGUGGCAUUUUCUUGGAUAGUUAUCUUAAUUCUUCCCCUAUCAUUAACCUGCCCACAGACCAUAUCCUUCAACUGACUGCCUGUCCCUUUGUGGCUUGAACCUUCCGUAUGAGAUUCAGCAGCAUUCUUCCUUCGCCGUUCAUUGUGUCCGGCCAAACGCCUCCGACAACUCCUUUUGGUUUCAUCAAAUUCCCAUAGCUCAUGAAACCUGCUGCAUUGCUGACAAAACCGUUGCCUAAUCCCAGCCACAAGCACAAUCUGAGCCUUGGCAUGAUUCGCACAAACCUUAUGCCUUCUAUGGUAUGGCUUUGCAUCACUCAGAUCAGCCGUACACUUCUCAGCUUGACAACUCCUCAUACCUCCACUCCCACUGCCACCACCUAACCCUAUCCUUCCUCCACCACCACCACCG